rnacentral:rRNA from 1 species
GACGUAGGGUGCGAGCGUUGUCCGGAUUUAUUGGGCGUAAAGAGCUCGUAGGCGGCUCGUCGCGUCGACCGUGAAAACCCGCGGCUUAACUGCGGGCUUGCGGUUGAUACGGGCGGGCUAGAGUUCGGUAGGGGAGACUGGAAUUCCUGGUGUAGCGGUGAAAUGCGCAGAUAUUAGGAAGAACACCGGUGGCGAAGGCGGCCAUCUGGCUCGGUACUGACGCUCAGGCGCGAAAGCGUGGGGAGCAAACAGG